rnacentral:rRNA from 1 species
UGCAGAAUCCCGUGAACCAUCGAGUCUUUGAACGCAAGUUGCGCCCGAAGCCAUUAGGCUGAGGGCACGCCUGCCUGGGCGUCACGC